UAAGACUUGAUCACAUACAGAACGCCUAAAACUCGAAUAUGGGUUCCAACCGUUGCCGAAACAAUGGGUAAACAUUUUCGGUUUUAGAAAUACACAAGUGUUGAAUUUGAUACAUGGUACACGAAACGAUUACACACAGUAAGCAAAACCUAGAAGGUUUUGAUAACACGCAUAUAGGACUUUUGGAAAACUCUUGAUGAGAACUUAUGUCAAAAUUCAUUAAAGGUCCUCACUUAGAAACCAUGACUAACAACACGGGCAAACGUCAUUAUCUAUAUUUUCUAUGCUAUUUUAAUUACCCGAGCAGGUAACCACGCGGAACGAAACGCUAUUGCGUAGCUAUACGUGAAACUUAAACUACACGUCAGCGGAUGUUGAAGUACAUCACACACAACUUUCGAGGUAAUGCCUUUGGAAAACACACUUGGGCACGAUAACAAUGAUGCUAAUUCUGUCAGCGAGAGAAUUACUGCUCGAAAUGUGGCAAAUUGCCACGUGAUCCUACAAAUGACACGAGUCACGCUAAGGUACGUUAAAACGAGAUUUCACUACAAUCGAUGCUUAGUCUAAGGAGACUCACAACUAUUGGCGCUGCAAAAGAAGUCACAUGUCUUUGCAUUCCCCCUACUUCAUUCAUGGCGAUUAUGCUACGUACAACAUUCUAUGGUAAUGUCACAUAACAACCAAUGAUCACGUGAACUUCCAGGUAAAGUCCUUAAACUUCUUUUGUUGAAAUUCUGAUUUUUGCAUAUAGCGAGUAGACUUCAUAUUUCUACUCCCCCUAACGAUCCUUGCAUCACGAAUUUUUUUUUUCAUAAUAGCGAAUACUCAUUUGCUUCAUUCUUGACGAAUUCAUAUGUUACACAUGCGUUAAUUGUUAAGCAUGUGGCUUCACUUGAAAUUGUUGCUUUAUCAAGUUCAAAUAUUAUUUCGCUAUCUUCACUCCUUGCAUUGUGAUCUAGCUAAACCACAUUAUUGCAUAAUGUUGACUCUUUGAUAUCGAGUCAACGAAACUCGUUGAAACUCCUUUCUUUUCAAGCUACAUACAUGGUUUUUCGUUGUAACCAUGCAAAACUUUCUUGUUGAUACAUGUAAUCAUUGUUGAAUUGCGUUUAACCCAAGUUCUCAAUUGAUUAAACUUGCUCGUUAUAUAUAUUCGAUUCAAGAUUCCAUAUGAUGGAUUGAAGCCAUCAUAUUCGAAAUAAUCCCAACAAGCACUUCAUUUGCCUUGAACCAUAACAGGCUUGUUUGGUCUUUGACUUCAUUGAAUCGUUUCCUUGAUCACGAUCACCUUGUGGUGACGUUUUCACAAAUUUGAAGCUUGUGCUAAUCUCGUUUACACACAUCAUGUACGGAUUUAAUUAUUUAUCUAUUUGUUUAUUGAUAUUAAAUCCGCUUUGUUGAUUUGUCAUAUUAAAGCAAUCUUAAUACACUCGUGUGUUAAGAUAAUGGUACACAAAUUCAUUUCGUAUUUCAGUGUACCUCUUAACGGUUCUUUCAGCAUCGAUCGAACAUUUUGUGAUAUUCAUUGCUUUUUCAUUUUCGAUCGAAAACAUUAUUUCCUUGUUUCAUUUUUAAUUGAAAAUCCUAUGGGAUUUGUUUGAAACAAACAUUCAGAUUUACUUCGUUGAACCUUCAGUUGAAUUCAACCACGGUGAACUUGUUUGAUCACCGUUGUUAUUGAAAUAUUUCAAUCACUACGACACCUUGUGGUAUCGGUAUAAACUUGUAGCUUGGGCUAAUCAUAAUCGAGCGUUUCAUGCGAAACACAGGUGAUACUUGUUUGAUCACCGCUAUUAUUGAAUUGUUUUAUUCACUACGACACCUUGUGGCGUCGGUAUAAACUUGAAGCUUGCGCUAAUCACGAUCAGCCACCUCAUGCGAAACUGUACAUGCUUUUCGUUUGACACAUCAUUUAAGUAGUCUUAAUGCAACUAUGUAUUAAGACGAUGAUACACCAUGUUCGGUUGUAUUUCAUUUCGGUGUCUCCUUGCAACUCAACAACGUCAACAUGUUGAUUUCAUCUUAUUCAUUAAUUGUUCAAUAGUUGACAAAUCAUUUCAUGAUUCUAUCUAUUUGAGCUUGUUGAUUCAAGUUUCAAUCAUACAACAACCAAUGCAAGUUUCUGUUGAUAGUAAAUUCUGUUGUUUCAAAAAUUGAAUUGCACUUUGUGAUCGUUCAUUUGGAAUUCCAUUGGUUGAAUUUCCUCUUUUGUUGAACCCAGUAAACCUAGUCACAUUGGUGAUAGUAUCACAACAUCUCGUUCACUUGACAUCAAUUUCUAGAACAAACUCAUUGAGCCGUUGGUUUCUUAUUGAUGCAAAAUGUCCUUAUACUCACGUAAUCUGAAUAAGUCUUGAUUCGAUUACGCGGUCAUUCAUUUUGGUAUUAUUCGGGCUUACCUAGGAACGACACAGCUCUGAGGAGAUAGCAUAGACUAAAUUUCGAGCACGAAAUUUAUGCAACAGGGGGAGAAUGUGACAACCUGCAAUUAACGCCUCUUAAUUGCGCGAUUAACAAAUGUUUAGACGAUAAUAACUAGUGUUUUAGGCGCAAAUUAAAUUAAUUAGGCCUUUGGAGCGCCUAGGAACGUCUAACCGGCUUUACAGUGCACGAAUGGUGAUUUGCGGAAAAAUCUACUAAACGCUGAACAGUAACGAACGGAAACCGAACAAAAUACUGACAACGCCGACAAAUAUUAAAUUUUGCGAUAUAUUUUAGAUUCGUAAUUUAAAUAUUAAUAAUCGUAGUCGAAACCACAGCGAAAAACGGAUUGAAACGGUGAACAACGAAAUUUACGCACUUUUUACGUUACUGACGAUCAAACGCGACAACGACGAAUACUUAUCAUGUUUUGCUUAUUUCAAUAAUAAAAUUUUAAUUUACGACGUUUUGCGGAGCUCGGGUUUUGAAGACGAGUUCGGAUAAAUUAACGGGCCACUUACAUAACGUGAUAUUGGGCUUGUGGGCCUUGGGCCCAAGCCCAUUAAACAAACCCUAUGUAUUUAAAGGUGGAAAACCCUAGUUUCCACAAUUUACAUCAGCCGCUCCCAUGUUUUGUUCUCUCUCAAAUGUGUUGAACCGUACCUUCUACCAUUUGGAAUCACUAAUCAAAUGAGAGCAUACAAACAUAAAACCAACAAAUCAACUAUCCCUUUCAUUCUUCAUCAUCAGUUAUACACACACAGACAACGACACCCCUUCCUCGCCCUACCUUCCAGCAACAACACACACCCCUUUUUCAACCCCUGCUACCCCCUUUCUCUCGAUGGCAGACCGGCGGCCGGCAACCAGGUGAACCGGCGAGUUGGGUGGGGGGGUAUGACAGACGAGAGAUAGAGUUCAGGAGGUAUAGAGAGAUCGAAGAGAGAAGGAUGGCGGCGGCAGUUAGAUCAGUUUCUCCGGCGACUCGCCGGUGUUCAUAUUGAAGGUUUGAAGAUGAUAAUUUUCCCGGUGGCGGAGAGGGUAGUGGAGCCACGGUGGUGAUGGUGGUGGCGGUCGACAAGACACAGCGGCAGUGGCAGCGGUGAUAGAUGGUUCCGGGUUUAGUCGGGUUUCUGUUCAGGAGCUUCGGGGUAGUUGGUUGAGAUUCAUGUGUUCGGGUUUUCGGGUUUCAAGCUCGGCUCAGUUCUGAUGUCUGUUCAAGUGUUAUGAACCAGAUUUAGUAAAAAAAAAAAAAAAAAAAAAUUCGGGAUUCGAGUCUUGUUCAGGUUCAGUCAACUUCGGAUGUGGGUGUGGUACGGUCGACUCGGUAAACUGAGUCGACUCUGUCAACACGGUCGGUCUGAGUUAAUUCAGCUCGGGGCGAGUCAAUACAGUUCGAUUCGGGUCAUCUCAGUUCGGGUGUGGUCAAAACCGGUCAGACAGUCAACGGAUGGGUUCGGUUCAGGGUUCGGUUUCGGGUCACGGUUCACGUCAGUUAUGUUUCGGGUUCACAUCGGGUCCGAUUCGGUUUGAGUUUCGGUUCAACAGUCAAACGGGUUUUGGUUCGAGAUCGAUCAAGCUCAGAUCGGGUUCAACACGUUCAGCAACUCAGUCAACACCCGAGUCAACUCGGUCAACAGCGAGUCAACCAAGUCAAAAUGGUCAAACUUGGUCAACGGUAGUCAGUCAAGACCCGGAAUGUCGUAAUUGCACGCUAGCGAGUUCAUGUUCUUGGAACGACAUCACGCAAUCAUACUAAGCUAGCUUUGCACAGGAAUGUCAAGGUUACAUUUUCAAAACUACGGAACGGUUGGAAUAGGAGAACCCACGGGAAUUCGAGUACUUAGCGGCGUUCAUUGUUUAGAAGUCUUAGCUUAUUUGCUUCCGCUGUGCAAUGAAGAUACCGGUCCAGUCACGCCAGCUCUGAUAUUUCGGGGUGUGACACAAAAUAUUUGGUAUUUACUUCCAAUUGCUUCUAACAUGGAUCUUGAAAGUAAAAAUACGCGAACCACACGCUGAAACUUUAACACUUGAUCCAUCUCCCUCGUCUGGUAAAAUACGGGCAUCUUGUAUAGACGCUCAAUAUCAUUCUCUGAUACAUUUACCAACCACAGAUCGAAGAUCCUAGCAGUCAUGUUUCCAUCUGCCUAUAGGGUGGUGGGCUCAUCUAUAUUUAUUAUUUGCUUAAAAUUAUAUGUUU